rnacentral:rRNA from 1 species
GACAGAGACGGCAAGCGUUAUUCACGAGAACUGGGUGUAAAGAGUGAGUAGGCGGCUUUUUUGAAAACCUUAUGAGAAAUGCUUGUGUAUCGCCACACUUCUCAAAUAUAGGAACAAUAUAAGCUCUAGAGAUAUGCUUAAGUUAAUGGAAAACAGUGUCAGAUUACUCGUUCACAAGACGUCUAAUUACUGGGUACCUCCGUAGGCGAAGGCGACUAACUAGGCAUAUUCUGACGCUGAGUCACGAAAUUUUGGGUCGCGAAAGGG